GACGAACCGUGCGAACGUUGUUCGGAAUCACUGGGCUUAAAGGGCGCGUAGGCGGGUUCGCAAGUCCGGGGUGAAAUCUUUCAGCUUAACUGGAAAAGUGCCCCUGAUACUGCGAGUCUCGAGGGAGGUAGGGGCAUGUGGAACUUCCGGUGGAGCGGUGAAAUGCGUAGAUAUCGGAAGGAACGCCGGUGGCGAAAGCGACGUGCUGGACCUCUUCUGACGCUGAGGCGCGAAAGCUAGGGGAGCAAAC
rnacentral:rRNA from 1 species